rnacentral:rRNA from 2 species
UUUGACCUCAGAUCAGGCAAGACUACCCGCUGAAUUUAAGCAUAUUAAUAAGCGGAGGAAAAGAAACUAACAAGGAUUCCCUCAGUAACGGCGAGUGAAGUGGGAACGGCUCAAGCUUGAAAUCUCUGUUGCUUGCAACAGCGAAUUGUAGUCUCGAGAAGCGUCUUCCCGGCGGAUCUUCCCUGCCKAAGUUGCUUGGAACAGCACAUCGGAGAGGGUGACAAUCCCGUUUGUGGCAGGGGAGACCGUCCAUGAUGCGCUCUCCAUAAGUCGGGUUGCUUGGGAAUGCAGCCCAAAAUUGGUGGNAAACUCCAUCUAAAGCUAAAUAUUGCCACGAUACC